rnacentral:misc_RNA from 1 species
UCGCGGCUUAUCACCGGCAGUCCCCUUAGAGUGCCCAACUGAAUGAUGGCAACUAAGGGCGAGGGUUGCGCUCGUUGCGGGACUUAAUCCAACAUCUCACGACACGAGCUGACGACAGCCAUGCAGCACCUGUGUUCCCGCCAGCCGAACUGAAGGAUCUCAUCUCUGAAACCCAUACGGGACAUGUCAAGGGCUGGUAAGGUUUUGCGCGUUGUAUUGAAUUAAACCACAUGCUCCACCGCUUGUGCAGGCCCCCGUCAAUUCCUUUGAGUUUCGGUCUUGCGACCGUACUCCCCAGGCGGAGCACUUAACACUUUCGCUACGACCGAAAAACUGUGGAGGGUUCUCCGGUCUAGUGCUCAUCGUUUAUGGCUAGGACUAC